rnacentral:rRNA from 1 species
UUACGAGGUCAGGACACUGUGAGGAUUGACAGAUUGAAAGCUCUUUCUUGAUUCAGUGGGUGGUGGUGCAUGGCCGUUCUUAGUUGGUGGAGUGAUUUGUCUGGUUAAUUCCGUUAACGAACGAGACCUUAACCUGCUAAAUAGUCACGCGAACCGGUCCGCAAGGGCUCAAAGUUCGCGGCUCGACUUCUUAGAGGGACUAUUCGCACCCGCCAGCGAAUGGAAGUUUGAGGCAAUAACAGGUCUGUGAUGCCCUUAGAUGUUCUCGGCCGCACGCGCGUUACACUGACGGAGUCAACGAGCGUUUUUCCUUGCCCGACAGGGCUGGGUAACCUCCUGAAACUCCGUCGUGAUGGGGAUAGAUCAUUGCAAUUAUUGAUCUUGAACGAGGAAUUCCUAGUAAGCGCGAGUCAUCAACUCGCGCUGAUUACGUCCCUGCCCUUUGUACACACCGCCCGUCGCUCCUACCGAUUGAACGGCCCGGCGAGAACUCCGGAUGGUC